UGAGGAACAUGACCUUCGGCGGGGGAUAGCCGGCCCAACGGCCGGGUAAUACCGCGUACGACCACAUGGGGACAUCCCUGAGGGGUGAAAGCAGCAAUGCGCCGAUGGAGUGCCUCGCGGCCUAUCAGCUAGUUGGUGAGGUAACGGCUCACCAAGGCGACGACGGGUAGCUGGUCUGAGAGGAUGGCCAGCCACAUUGGGACUGAGACACGGCCCAGACUCCGUAGGNGG
rnacentral:rRNA from 1 species